UGUAGUAAUGAUGUCAGUAUUCAACAAAGUUUUUGGAAUGGUCCAUGACACCGCUGAAACCCACACGGUUCACUUGAGCCUCACCACGGAAUCUCAAAACACUUCAACACUGGAUGGGAAAGUAUCAGUCACAGUGGCUGCUUCUAUUACUUUCAUUAUCAUAAUUUCGGCAGGUGUAAUUUUCCGCUGCUGGAAACAAAAAAAACAGCAGAAGUCUGAUGAAGAAAAUGUCUUAACUGAUGAAGAGAGGUUUGACCCUGCACAGCCAGAAAUGACCACGGAGGAAGAUUCUACAGAAGAGAUACCUGAAACAAAUGUGGAUUAUGAGGAUGGAGAAGUUAUGGGAGCAUUACUUUCAAUGAUGACCUGCUUGUGAGCUUUAAUUCAGGCCAGAGAAAGGCUUCUGUUAGUUUAAGUGUAAGUUUGGUUUCAUCACAAAGGAAUACUGAGAAAAUGGAUGGAAGUUUUUUACAGGGCCACUUGGGGCCAUCACUCAUUUGAAAAUGAUUGUAAUAUUAAUAUUAAUUUAAUGUUACAUUAUAUACUGACAUAGUGUAUUGUAGCUAGAACUUGUUUUUUAUUGCAUGGUCACAUGGAAAUGUUGAUCUUCAACAGCUAUCAUACAAAGAUAGUGGAAAAUUUUGAUUUGUUGGGUGUUUUUCCAUGGAUAUACUUAGGUAGUGGACCAAAGCCUGUGUAUACUGAGAUAAUGGAUGCUAAUACGUCAUAAAUAUGGACACAGAGAUGUUGGAUCACACAAAGUGGUAUGUAUAGAGAUGCUGGGUGUUUUUCCAUAGGUAUACUGAGAUGGUGGAUGCUAAUACUUCAUUAACAAAGAUAUGGAGAUUGUGUUGUAUAUGCAGUGUUAUGCCAUGGUUAUACUGACAAGCUGGAUGUUGACCCUUUAUUAUAUGCAUCCAGAGAUGUGGUUAUCAGUGGUAAACUGGUAAUAGCUUUCCUGGUUAGUUCUGAAGUUCUUUUAGAUUUUGAGAAGGUUUUUGUCUAAAUGGUUUUGUCAGGAGAAAUAUUACAGUGGUAAACUGAAAGGGGGAUGAGAUAUUUGAUCUGGCUGCCAUUGCUAAUCAAAAUGUCAUAAAAUGUUUGCAUUGCAAUAAAGCAUAUUUGGUUGGUUAUUUUCAAACUGCAAAUCAUGGUUUUGGAUGUCAGAGUUAUGAGUAGUUGCAUGCCCUUACAGUGGAUACCAGGAUCCAGUAUAAUUUUCCAUAAUGGUAGUGGAUUCCAGAGUACUGUGUUGAUGUUUGACACAAGG